AAGAUGCAUUAAGAAAGGGGUUAUCCCUGCCAACCUGCAUACCGUGCGAAGGUGGUAAUAUAUGCGGCCAAAAAGGCAAAAAUUAGGUCUCA
rnacentral:ncRNA from 10 species